rnacentral:pre_miRNA from 2 species
AGCUGGUAAAAUGGAACCAAAUCGACUGUCCAAUGGAUUUGGUCCCCUUCAACCAGCUGU